CUGGAACCUGCCGCAAGACUUUGACGCACAUUAACAUACAAUGUGGCAUGUAGUUGAUCCUCCAAAUAUGUGUUGAUAAAAGUAAGAAAAAAAGGAAGUGAGAAGAGAAGGAAGAAAGGCUGGCCUUGGAGCUUUACAAACUAGUACUCAUCCAAGAAGUAGUAAUUAAAGAGACAGAGUCUCACUUUACCGCCCUUGGUAGAGUGCCAUGACGUCACAGGACUCACAGCAACCUCCAGCUCUUGGGCUUCCACAAUUCUCCUGCCUCAGCCUCCCGAGCAGCUGGGACUACAGGCACCCGCGCCACAACCCCCGGCUAUUUUUUGGUUGCAGUUCAGCCGGGGCUGGUUCUGAACCCAUCACCCUCGGUAUGUGGGGCCGGCGCCCUACUCACUGAGCCACAGGCGCCACCAAAAAAAGGGAAAACAUUGUUAACCAUAAAUUCUGUACCAACAAAAGGCACCCUUUAAAAAGAAAGGUGAAAUUAACAUAUUUUUAGCUACCAAAACCAAAGACUUCAUCUGGACCUGCCCUACAAGAAAUACUAACAGGAGUUCUUGAAAUAAAAGGAUACUAACUAGA